ACUCCUCCUCACAGAAAAACAAAGAAAAGUUGUCUGAAAAUGACAAAGAAGAAAAACAAAAAUGACUCUUUUUUUUUCUUUUUCUUGCUUUACCUCAGUUUUUCCUCAUUUCGAUGCUGCAGGAACCGUCAAAACAAUUUGAAGCUCCAUUACUUUCAGCAGCGGAGACACUAAUUUGUGCACUUCGUACGAGUGCAACACUAGAACGGAGCCGGCUUCUCAUUUCGGCUUCGAACUGACCCCGUCCCCCCGCCCCCAGCGCUCGUCCUUGAUCUGCUCGUAGCGCUUCUUCCAAAAAAAGAAAAAGAAAGGACUUGAUACAUUUUAUCUCCUCAACCGUUGGACUUUCUGCAGCAGACGGACUCGAGCAGCCACAAAAAGAAGUAUUUCGGCAACUUGGGAGCAAAACACCCACACGGUGAAUCAAUCAUCUGCCAAUCAGCCAACCGGGAAGCAGAGGGAGGGAGGAAGGGGGUGGAGGGUGGAGGCUGGACGGUGGUCCCUCCUGGAAAUGUUCAGAUGUUUAUGCCUACAGGCUUUGUGUGCGUGCGCGUGUGUGUGCGUGUGUGUGCGUGCGUGUGUGUGUGUGUGUGUGUGUGUGUGUGUGUGUGUGUGUGUGUGUGUGAGAGAUCUCAACUCAACCGAACCGGGUGAAGCACAUUGAUUCACAGUAAUUGCAGUCAUGUAAAAAGAAACGGUUCAUUCCCAGUUUUCUAUUUAUAGUCACUGUUUUCACUAGUUGUCUUCACCAUUAUGUAAUUCUAAAUCAUCCUCCUCAUCAUGCUCUCUGGGAUCCAGUAGUUUUCUUUCACGGUGCGUCCGAAAGGCAUCCGACACGAGGACAGCUCUACGGUUUCUCCUGUAUGUGUUACAUCUCCAUAUACUCUCUUCUCUGUGUUCUUAUUGCUAUUAUUAUAUUAUUAUUUGCCUUUUUGGUUCCAAAGAUUUCCUAAAGAAAGCACAUUUUUGGUCCUGAUAUAUUUCUUAUUUCUAUGGUUGUCUUUUUCUUUUCUUUUUUUUUUUUUUUUUUUUUCAAAUCUGUGGGCUGAAGCUGUGUUGUGCAGUCGGCUGUCGCAGCAGAACCCUGGGAAACGUCUUUGAAGCUGCAGCCGACGCACAGUUUGGGAAUUCGGACCCGCGGGCGCCAGUGUUUCCGUUAAGGUUUCCAGAAGCGCCUUUUCUGUCUCUCGCUUCUGGAAGCCGCUGUGCAAAGGUGGACGGAAGGAGCGGGAGAUCGUGCCGACGACACAUUUAACGCCGCCGGCUCGCUAAUUUAUUACCUUUACUCCUUGUAGCUGCAGAAGCGUUUUUGUUACAGGCGAGGGAAAUCAGCGCAGAUGCACAGAAAGACACCGGAGGACGGCUGGCGAACGGCGUUUCCCAGCAGGGACGCAUUACACCGUAAAUUGUGGGAGGAGGAGGGGAGGGGGGGUCCCACGCAAUGUCAGGAGGGCCCGGCGGCCCAGCGGUGGCCACCUUUCCAACAAUGAAACGAUGCGUGGGCGGCGAGCGGUGGGACUUUGGUGAAGGUGAGACGCUGAGCCAUUAAUCAUGAGCUGACAGAGUAACAGCCCCCCCCCCAUGUCCUUCUCUCCCAUUCUCGGUUCUUUCUCCAGGAGUGAGGAGAUUUUGUAUGAUUGUGAAAUGGAGUGCAGUAGGUCCAUUGAGUAUUUCUUUGACGAGCAUUACCUCUUUUUUUUUCUUUUUUUUUUUUGUUGUCGUCUUAUUAUUCCUUACAAGUAUUAUCAGAAGUGUUGCUAUGCAUGCCUGUGAGAGCGAGGAAGGCUGACAGAGAGAGAGAGAGAC